rnacentral:rRNA from 1 species
UACGUAGGGUGCAAGCUUUGUCCGGAAUUAUUGGGCGUAAAGAGCUUGUAGGCGGUUUUGUCGCGUCUGCUGUGAAAUUUUCGGGGCUCAACCCCGAACUUGCAGUGGGUACGGGCAGACUAGAGUUGUGGUAGGGGAGACUGGAAUUCCUGGUGUAGCGGUGAAAUGCGCAGAUAUCAGGAGGAACACCGAUGGCGAAGGCAGGUCUCUGGGC